rnacentral:lncRNA from 1 species
AAAAAGAGAGAUUACAAGCUCGGAUAGCCGAACUGGAAAAAUCGCUACAUCUGCAUCGUAGCCGUAACUCCGUAAUUGAGUUAAAGACCAGCUUAAGCAAAAUCGAGGAGUUGAAAGGAAAAAUAGAGGAACUCGAGUCGACACUAUAAGAUAGCAAAAGUCGAGUGGAAUUCCUUGAGGCAAACAAUAAACAUUGCAAAGAACAACUUCA